GACGAACGCUGGCGGCGUGCUUAACACAUGCAAGUCGAACGGAAAGGCCCUGCUUUUGUGGGGUGCUCGAGUGGCGAACGGGUGAGUAACACGUGAGUAACCUGCCCUUGACUUUGGGAUAACUUCAGGAAACUGGGGCUAAUACCGGAUAGGAGCUCCUGCUGCAUGGUGGGGGUUGGAAAGUUUCGGCGGUUGGGGAUGGACUCGCGGCUUAUCAGCUUGUUGGUGGGGUAGUGGCUUACCAAGGCUUUGACGGGUAGCUGGCCUGAGAGGGUGACCGGCCACAUUGGGACUGAGAUUCGGCCCAGACUCCUACGGGAGGCAGCAGUGGGGAAUAUUGCACAAUGGGCGGAAGCCUGAUGCAGCAACGCCGCGUGCGGGAUGACGGCCUUCGGGUUGUAAACCGCUUUCGCCUGUGACGAAGCGUGAGUGACGGUAAUGGGUAAAGAAGCACCGGCUAACUACGUG
rnacentral:rRNA from 1 species